AUUUCCUAUAUUGUCUCCUUCUUCUGAUGAACAAGAGACCUUUUAACACAGAUGUGGACACACGUGACAUGGAAAGCAAGGCAAGUACAAUAGAAUUCAAGCUGAGGGAUUUCCCAUUGAAAAGAUACCUUACAGAAAAAGAGAUUUGGGCAAGUUACACUGACAAAUAUCAGUGGAAAACUCUAACAUAAGAAAGAGGAGCAGAGAAGUUGCUACAUAUGGUUGGUCACUAAGAUGGCAUUCUUUGAAGUCAUCUGCAGAACUCAAUCAAAAAUGGGAAACUACUUGGUAUGAAAGGAAAAACCCUUUUCUGAGAGCAACAGAGAGCACUGCCACUUGUCUAACCAGCUCUAGAGAGCAUUAAGGAACUUGAAGUCUAAAGUACUUGCACAGAAGCACUGCUAACGGUUGUACCAAAGACCUUCCUGGCUUCUGUGUAUCCCAUACUGCUUGGCAGAAGAAAUCAAAGAGAAAGCCACACACCUUCUGUGUAUGGCAGAAAUUCAAUCUCAAUGGAUCCCACAACAAUUCCAUCAAGAUACUAAACAAGACCAAGAAAAGGCAUGGUGUUGUCAAGCACUACAGAUGAAAGAUCUGGGAGCAAAGAACUAGACAUCCACUAUGUGUCACAGGCUUUUCAACAUAUUUCCAUUUUUUCCUGGGAUUGGUUGAAUCGAAGAGCUUGGCAACCAAAUAUAUGUCUCUGCUUAGAGAGAACUAAACAGAAUGAGGAUGGAUUACUUCCCUUAUUUUAUGGGCAGGAAAUGCUGUACUUUUACAGGCUCAAGACCCAACUGUGAAGGUCUCAGGAUUCGAGUAAUUCAGUGUUAUUAUUGUGGGCUCAUCACUACUUUUCUGUUAAUCUGCUUAAGAGCAAACAAGCAAAAUGUGUAUACAUAUAUAUGUGUGUGUGUCUGUGUGUGUAUCUCCCCAUACACAACAUUUACAAAUGAAAGAUAAGCAGACAUUCAAAUACAUUAGACUGUAAGUAGGUUGUCCAAAACUCUAAAAGACACUGAUGUUUUUGAUUGACGUAUUUUUCUUAACAGGAAGGACAAAAAAGGGUCAUGCCAGUUUGUGUUUGCAGGACUACCAGUGGAUCAGAUAUUUAGAAAGAGGGAAUUGUGUCAUGGGGUUCAUGAAACAUUGUAAGGAAAGCAGAACAAAAAGAGUAAACAGGAGUAAAAAGGAAUUAUUACAUUUGCAUCAGAACCUAUGAUCCCUUAUAGGGCACUGUGAGGUGCAAGAGAUGUUUAGAAAACAAGGGUGGAAAUAUCAGAAGGGAACUACAAUACUGUUAAAUCCAGGAAGUUUUCCAGACUGUGGGGCUAGGAGAAUUAGAUU
rnacentral:lncRNA from 7 species